AUGGGAACGCGAAGAACCUUACCUAGACUUGACAUCUCCUGAAUUACCCUUAAUCGGGGAAGUCGGUACCUUUGGUAUCGACAGGAAGACAGGUGGUGCAUGGUUGUCGUCAGCUCGUGUCGUGAGAUGUUGGGUUAAGUCCCGCAACGAGCGCAACCCUUAUUGUUAGUUGCUACCAUUUAGUUGAGCACUCUAGCGAGACUGCCCGGGUUAACCGGGAGGAAGGUGGGAUGAUGUCAAAUCAUCAUGCCCCUUAUCGUCUAGGGCUACACACGUGCUACAAUGGCAAGUACAAAGAGACGCAAGACCGUGAGGUGGAGCAAAUCUCAAAAACUUAGUCCCAGUUCGGAUUGUAGGCUGAAACUCGCCUACAUGAAGUUGGAGUUGCUAGUAAUCGCGAAUCAGAAUGUCGCGGUGAAUACGUUCCC
rnacentral:rRNA from 1 species